CUGAACAUGUAUCAUUUUUAAUUUUCUUAUAUUCGUGCUUCUGUGUAUCAAUCAAAUUACGCGGGUUGAAUACAAAUGUAGCAGCACGAUAGGUAAGUAAUAUACGCUGCUAGAAUUGAACUCAGUUGUGAUUAGACAGUUAAAGCGAACACGUUAACUUCCAUUAAUAUCAUUAUAUUUUAUAUAUAAAUUUUACUCUAAUAAAAGUCUAACAAAUUAUCUGAAAUGAAAUAUCAAACAAGAAACUACUCGUGUGGUUGGAAGAAAUAAAAAUUUUACACAUUCGCUACAUUAUAUAUAUGUAUGCGUGUAGAUUAUAAAAACACGAUUGAAACAAUGUAAUCAAUAUUCUCGUAAUAAUAAUACCUCACUGUUAAUUGCGUGCUGUUCCAUUAUAAUAGAAAGAGCAAAGUAUACGAAAAAGUUUUGACUAACAGUAGUAAGACGAUAAGUAAAAAAUAAGAAGAAACAUUCCAUCAACACGAAGAGUAAGAAACUGAGUAGUAAGAAAAGUAAACAAAUCAAAUUUACGAACGAACAACAAACGUGGAUAAGAUUAGAGAACAAUGAUAUUCAAUACGAAUGUUGUUUUGAAGAAAAAAAAGCGACGAAGUUAUAAAUAUAACCAACAACGAAGGAGACACCAAAUUGAGAGAAGAUAAAAGGCGUAAUAAAAGCACGAUUUUUCAGAGAAAUAAAUUGAAUAUUAUCCAUAUUCGAUUUGGUUAAUACAGAUCUAGACGUUAGGAGAUGAAUUCAAAAAAAUUAAUUUUUAAUAGAAUAAAACCUUUAGAAACAGAAUGAUGAAACAAUAACUUUUUCUAAAUAUAAGGAAGAAGGUCACACCCUAUAGGAUUAUCGACUGCAUGUUUUACUAUUGAUGAAAUUAAAACAGAAUGGAGGAUUCAUGCCAUUCAGAUGAAAUAUGUAGUCUUCCCUUUGAUUAUGGAUCAUCCCUACAUUAAAGUUGCAUAUAUUGCAUUUAAAGGAGCAUAUAUCGCAUAUAGGUGAGUCGACCAAAUGAAUUAUGAACACUUUAAUCUUGGUGAAUGUAGUAGUGUCUUUUUAAAAACAAAAGCAUGCUAUAAAGCUCUUCAUGUAAUAAUAAGUUUUUCUGAAAUAAGAAGUAGUAUAGUAAACAAUUUUUUCUUUUACAUAUAUAAAGCUUUUCCUAUGUAUAAAGUUAAACGAAUAAAUAUUAAUUAGUGAAAUUGUAUAUUCACAAAUCUUGUUGAAACAUACUUAGCACAAACCGUAUCAGCGUUUCAUAUAUAUCUAUUCUUACCGUAACUGGUCAUUUGACCAUUGUACAAAUUUUACAGAAUAAAUAUUUUUUGGCUGAAAUUAUCAAUUUAUUGUAAGAUGUAAUGUUUAUAACGUAACUGUUAAAUAAUAAUAAAAUAACCAAUCAUAUUUUCCUUUUUAUACGUAUCAUAAAUAACAAAUAGGAGAUCAUAGAGGCAAUGUUUAUUUUACUUAGAAAUAAGUGAAUGAUGAUUUUAAUUUAUUUAGUGACAUUUUUUUGCAAAUGAUAGGAUUUUCCUUCGUACAUUUUCCACAAACAUAUUUUUCAUUAAUUAUACAAGAUAUAGCUGUUUUGUUUUCUUUGCAUAAUCGUAUCUGGCAUAUUUCUCGCAAAUGUGAAAUAUUGCCUUGGCCAUUUGAUAUUCCUUGUAAGUUUUCUUUUUCUUCUUGGAGAUUCUUGCCAUUUGAUCGGUAAAAUCGAUGCUGAAUUUAGUUUUGGCCUAAUAUGCAAUUGUCUCAAUUAUUCACUUUCUGUCGUUAUUGAUUUUUAUACUUUUAUGAUUUGAAUUUAGUAUUAUAACUUUUUUAAUUGGUUUGAAUUUAUAAAUUGUUAGAAUACUAUUAUUUGAUUUAUAAAGUACUGUUAAGAAAUAUUCCAUUUUGUUUUUCUUGAUUUUACCAGCUUGAGUAAUUUUCUUCUGUUGCUCCGAAUAGUACCAAAUAAUGUUCUUUGUUUUGCCAAUAAUUUUGUUGCCAGUCAUAUGCUUGUUGAAAAGUUCCAUCAUAACAUAUCUCCAACAUCGAAUAAAUGAUUCAACUAGUUUGAGAACAACAAAUUCAAUGAGUGGUACUGACAACAGUGGGAUUUUUUCUUUUUUCAAAUAUGAUGAAUAUAAAAAAAAACUGUUUAUAAUAUAUUUACUGUUGGCAUCCGAUGUUAAUCAAAACGUAAUGACAAAUUUAUUAGGCUUACUUAGUAUGUACUGUAUAAAUUUACAUUUCACUUUUGUAAGGAAUAGUUGCCCAUCAACAAUUAGAUUCAUAUCGGGCUUAUAACAAUUUUGAGUAUUCUCAAUAAAUCUGUUCAAUACAUGUGAAAUUAGAAUGACAUUAUAUUAAGAUGUAUGCAACUAUCUAUAGUUGUGAUACUUAAGUCCAAAGAUAAAAUCCCAAGUAGAAAAAUUUAGAAAAUGAUAAAAAAUUUGUACAUCAAUCAAAUGAUCGAUUAUGGUAAGCAAGCCAGGUAAUAAAUUUUUCUUAGUAAAAGCAAAAGAAAAAAAACCAAAAGUGAAAAAUUGAUUAAUUAGAGAAUCUAAGAAUUUACAGAUAGUUAAUGAUGAAUGGAAAAAAUAAUAUAAAUGUAUAAAUUCAUAAUUAAACCUUGAACCAGUCAUUUGACCGAACUUGAUACAGUUAGUGUUAGAAUACUAUGAAAUUUGUCACCAUAUUCUUAUAUUUAUUUCAUGGGUCAAUUACUAUAUUUGCAAAAAUUAAUUAAAAUCUGCAGGUAAUUAAAAAAGAAAGAAAACUGAAAUAAUCAAUUUUAAAUAAAAAUAUUAUUCUGACACUAAUUACAGUCAAAGAUUAAUUAAACAUUGAUUUCAUAUUUUAAUUGUAUCAUCUGUUCUAAAUAUUAUUUGUAAAUUUUCCAAUAUUAAACAAAUGAUUGCUAUUGAUUCAGUCACUUUAUAUAGUCUCCAGUCAUCUGCUGAAUCUUUCACUUGCCAGCAAAGUGUUAAGAAGAUCUCUGGACAGACCGAAUGAUGACAAUUAAUCUCAACAGUUCAUAUAACAACAUAAACGAUAAGGGCAUUGAAUAUUAAUGUCGUGGAUCUCGUAAUCAACGAAGAUCAGAGAUCCAAGCAAAAAUCCAAUAAUAUCUAACAGGAAAAAUACAAAGAAGUUAUACCGAAAGAGCCGAGGUGAAUGUAACAUUGAUAUGUUCAAUAUCCUUAAUGUUCAAUAUAUUAUCAACCGCCUUGAGUAUUUCAAUAUGAAUGGCAACAACAGUAGCAAAUAAUAUAGCAAGUUAUAGAAGUCUACAUCAUCCAAGAUGUCUACAUCAAGUCUACACCACCCUAUAUAGAAAGUGAUUUGUAAUUCUCCAAUCCAGUAUAAUUGGGUAAGAAAGACAGGCGAACUACGAAAUACAUUCGUACAUACGUACAUACAUAUAUACAUACAUAAUUUCCAGAAUAAUAGAAACAUUAAGGAAACAAUUAUUCUCUUUGUUACGGUAUUCACUACAUCAGUAAUUGUCCAUUGAGCUUGUGAUAAUUGCUGAGCUUACAUAUUCUAACAUUUAUCAUUUACAAAUUGUGGCAUAUGCAAUUUGCCAAAUAUUGAUUUAUCUUUAAUAUUAUGUUAUACUCGCAGUUGUGAUUUUAACAUAUUCUAUGCUCCCAUCUUUACAAAAUUGUUUGCAUUCAUUGGCUAAAGACGUGAUAUAAAUUUUUACAUAUUGCAGCAAUUAUUCCGUAACAAAUUUUCAUGGAUUUAUAAUAACGACCUUUAGUUACCCGAUAUACUUCAUUCAUUUAUGUUGCAAAUUUCUUAUAUUUUCUGGUCCACAACAUCAAGUUUUGUACUCAUGUUCAGAAUGAUUUGCUAGUCUGCUAUAUAGUAGCAAUAAAGUCCAUAUUAAUAGUUAUACCUAACAUACCUGACUAAAGCGAUGGAGUUUUUGUAGGAAUUCUCUUUCAAAGAAAUUAAAAUUCUUUGAGAAUUUUCAUUAGUUUUCUGAUAC